CAGUAGCCGCGGUAAUACGGAGGGUGCAAGCGUUAAUCGGAAUUACUGGGCGUAAAGCGCACGCAGGCGGUCUGACAAGUCAGAUGUGAAAUCCCCGGGCUUAACCUGGGAACUGCAUUUGAAACUGUCAGGCUGGAGUCUUGUAGAGGGGGGUGGAAUUCCAGGUGUAGCGGUGAAAUGCGUAGAGAUCUGGAGGAAUACCGGUGGCGAAGGCGGCCCCCUGGACAAAGACUGACGCUCAGGUGCGAAAGCGUGGGGAGCAAACAGGAUUAGAGACCCCGGUAGUCCCUGUCUCUUAUAC
rnacentral:rRNA from 1 species